rnacentral:rRNA from 1 species
UACAGAGGGUGCAAGCGUUGCUCGGAAUCACUGGGCGUAAAGGGUGCGUAGGCGGGGCUUUAAGUCAGGGGGGAAAUCCUGGAGCUCAACUCCAGAACUGCCUUUGAUACUGAAGAUCUUGAGUCCGGGAGAGGUGAGUGGAACUGCGAGUGUAGAGGUGAAAUUCGUAGAUAUUCGCAAGAACACCAGUGGCGAAGGCGGCUCACUGGCCCGGUACUGACGCUGAGGCACGAAAGCGUGGGGAGCAAACAGG